rnacentral:misc_RNA from 1 species
GGGUCGAUGAAGAACGCAGCCAGCUGCGUGAAGUAAUGUGAAUUGCAGGACACAUUGAACAUCGAUAUCUUGAACGCAUAUUGCGGCCUCGGGCAUUCCCGAGGCCACGCCUGUCUCAGGGUCGGUUGAACCUAUCUAUCGUCGGUUGUCCGUAUUUGCCGACGCCUUGGACCGUCGCGGCGCGUCGACCGUAAAGCGCAAUCGGCUGACCGUAAUUGCCGAGAGCGCAACGCGCCACGUCGUCCGAAGUACAGACGGGUCUGCCGCGAUGCAUUGCCGACCGGACGUCCUCAAUCCGCCCGAUGGGGAUGGCGACUCGGACCGUAAAGAGAAGCCGUUGUCUGUUGUGGCGGUUCGGAAGGCUUUGUGUCACGUACGGCGGAUCCACGAACGAAGAACGCGGUGUGCGUGCGGAUGGACGGAAGGACGGCUGGACCGGCGGGAAACUGCUGGACCGGCUGACCGACCGUAGGAAGGACGGCUGGACCGGCGGGAAACUGCCGGACCGGCUGACCGACCUUUGGGACUUUGGCUGGACCGGCGGGAAACCGCUGGACCGGCCGAUCGACCGACCGACUGCGCGCGCGCUUCGUAAACUCUUUAUUCGACCUGAGAUCAGACGAGAUUACCCGCUGAAUUUAAGCAUAU